rnacentral:misc_RNA from 1 species
GAUGAAGAACGUAGCGAAAUGCGAUACUUGGUGUGAAUUGCAGAAUCCCGUGAACCAUCGAGUCUUUGAACGCAAGUUGCGCCCGAAGCCAUUAGGCCGAGGGCACGCCUGCCUGGGCGUCACACGUCGUUGCCCCCCCAUCUACUCCUUCGGGAUUGCGGGGGGCGGAUGAUGGACUCUCGUGCGCCUCGUCGCGCGGUUGGCCUAAAUGCCAAGUCCUCGGCGACGCACGCCACGACAAUCGGUGGUUGCGAAACCUCGGUUGCCUGUCGUGUGCGGUCGUCGCGCAUCGAGGGCUCGAAAAAAUUGCCGGGCUUCGGCUCGACUUUCAACGCGACCCCAGGUCAGGCGGGGUUACCCGCUGAAUUUAAGCAUAUCAAAGCGGAGGA